rnacentral:tmRNA from 1 species
GGGGAUGCACCGGUUUCGACGGGGAUAGAUGGGAUUUGAUAAGCGAGCAGCGGGGUUCCCGAACCGCUUCAGUAAGGGAAAAAGUGUUUUUAAAAUAAACGCUAACGAAGAAUACGCUCUGGCGGCAUGAGCCAGCCUCCGCCGACUGAUUCUCGCUGAGUCGGGUCGGAGGUCAACGCGAGAUACCAGACUCUAACGCGCCAUAACGGUCUGGGAAUUUUUUCCGGCGAUAGACUUUGCAAAGUUUGUCAGUGAGUUAGGCAAAGUCGAAAACUCAAUCACUGUCUGCGCUCGGAGAAAGUCGGGUAACGUCAUUUUCGGACGCGGGUUCGACUCCCGCCAUCUCCACUA